rnacentral:snRNA from 1 species
AAGCCUUGGUUCUCCUUCAUUUACACGAAAAAAUCUUUCGUCUUUUACUAAAGAUUUCCGUGGAGGAGAACAACACCAUGGGCCUAAAGGUAUUUUUUUUCGCCCGCUGGAUUUUCCAGGCGG